GGCAUGUCCGGGUUCCGGUGGGGACUCCCACCCUGCUUUCAUUUCAUCGUUUUUUUUCCGCCCUGUGCUGUUCGGUGUUUAUGCUAGCUUAACCGUUUAGGCUAGCUCGUCUGAACUACUGUGCGUUUAGUUUUUGACUUUGAGUUUAUCUGGCAUGUUUCUCGGUACUUCCAGCCUGGAGUUUUCGUUGUUUAUGACCGUUUAAGUGACGAAGAUGUGGCCUUCAGAGACGCUAAUCGUGUGGCUCGGCUGUUUGUGUGUCCUAGCUGCCGUGUCUCCUUCAGUACAUGCGGAUACUACAGUCUAUGGAAAAGUGGGAGGAGAAGCUGUCCUAAAACCACCUGCCAACCCUGAGUCUGGCCCCAUCACACAAAUCUCAUGGAAAGAAGGUUCUAACAAAGCCAUGGAGUGGGAGACAGGAGAUACGAAUGCAACAGGCUAUCGUCAGUUUCGUGAUCGUGGCCACCUGAACACUUCCACUGGUGUGAUGACGAUCAGCAGUCUGUUACAUAAUGACAGCAACAGCUACACACCCGAGAUCAACAACAGGCGACUCACUCCAGUUAGCCUCGUCGUCCUCUCUCCCGUCCCUGUACCCAGUGUUAACAAAUCCUGUGAUGAGAGCAAAUGUGAGUUGAUCUGUGAAGGAACCACAGCAAGAGCCACUCCAGUCAGCUACACGUGGAUGUCAGAUGAUACUGGGACGCAUGUUUCAUCUGGGAAACAAUAUACUGUUCAUAAGGUGAACAGUUCAAUCAGUUAUGAGUUGAGCUGUGAGAUACAAAACCCAAUCAGCCGGGAGAGAAGUGAACCGAUCACCAUCUCUUCAGACUCAUUCUCUGUGAUAUCUCCACCUGGAGGAGGUCCAAACAUUUACAUGGGACUUACAGUGCUCAUCGUGCUGCUGGUUGUCGUCACACUGCUGGUUGUCUUUCAUAAAUGGAAAACAGGAAUGUGGUUUUUUGAAAAAGAGUCCAUGCCGUGGGAAGGAGAUUUCUGGAGGAGUGAUGAACAUCAGAGAGCUCCUGCAGCUAACGGCACCACUGCUCAACAACGAAACGAUGAACAAACUGAAGAGGAGACGCCAAUGACCAACGGCUAAACAUCAAGUAAGGACGGGUCAGGCGGAAACUGAGAUGAUCUGAAAGAUCCAAACAGAAACUGAAAAUGUUUAAGAAUGUCAAGAAGUGCAGACGUACAAUGGACGCUCACCGGGGGAGGCUCCAAACCACACACCAGUAAAACGAGUUUUACUUGGUUGUUGUUGUUGUUUUAAGUUGUCUAGAGACUUGAAUGAAUCAUGUAAUAUUUUGAAGUCAUUUCCAUCAGAAGAAGACUCCGCUUUGUUCUUCGUGUGCCCUGCAUUGUUACUGUGAACACAUUUAAAGCGGACAGGAAGUGCUAAUGUAUAAAGGCUGGUUUACAGCAUCGAGUCCCACUUUUAAAAAAUGGCUAUGAAGCUGGAUUUAAUAAUAUGUGUAUAAGGUUUUUAGUGCCAUCUUGUGCCAGUAUGGAAAGUGAUGUUAUGUGGUUGGUUGGUGCUAAUAGACUUACAUUAGUUUAUGUUGCUAACUAGUGACAGCUGCAGUGAGUUUUAUGUUAAAGUACCAAGGAUGUAUUGUCCCCUUUCACUCUCUCUUCAGCACGAAGUGGUCGUUCAUUAUUGGCUAGCUGCACUGAAAUAUGGGACUCCACCAGUUAGCCGUAUUGUUCGGGUUUGUAGAGCACUUUAUAAAUGAGCAGAGCUUGUUGGAGUUAGGUGGACUAGUGAUUUACAAGGACGAGAAGCUUCAGUCUGACACUGUCCCCGUUGUCUUUGAUUUUUCCUCCUUUGGUUGGAUGCAGACACACGGCACACAAUCAGCUGGCAGAGCAGAUGUUCAGAGGACGUGAUCAGCGUUGUUUUAUGCAGUAAAACAGUCUUUCUUUCCUCAAACACGCCCAACCAGUUUCCAACAUAAGUUACUACAUGCCCAUCUCAAACACAUCAGGAAUCCUGAGAUUCUGCAGGGGGAACAGAGUGAUGUGUAGAACAGGAACAUCAGAGGGAAAGCUGCUGCACUCGUUGGAGUGAGUGAGAUGAUGAUGUCAGUGCAUUACUUCAUACUAGAAGUGGGGAAAAUCAACACCCUAAUAUAAGUGAAGGAGAGCGUUCCUCUGUGGACAUGCUGAUGGACGUCAGGAUUUCCAUGUGCAUUGGUAAGAAAAAUUGUUAUAUUUGUAACUGUUGUUGUAAAACAGUUCUGUCACUCAGUAGUUCACAUAUACUAAAGCCAUUUUCCAGUUACCUCAGCAAUCUUGCAUUCCAGUAGGAAAUUUGGGAAAACCAGAGAAACCGGGUUCAUUUUGAUUCUUAGCAGGAUGCAACCAUUCGGGCGGGGGGGGGUGCUUAAGAACACAGCUGUGGCCCCUUCGUGGAUAGAGCCUGUUCAGUGCUGUGAGUAUGAUUAUAGGAUUCAUCUGUGAAUCCACAGCAGUGGCAGUCCAGAUUAUAAAUUUUACGUUUUUACUGCUGUUCACUUCCGCCAUCUUGGAUUGUUAAGUCACAGUUGGUGGGCUGAUCUGACGUUUCAGGAUGACAGAUUAGAGUAGGGCUCCACAGUGUAAAUCAGCCUUUAUAAAUGUAGUGUUUCAUGUUCACUUUAAUCCGAUGUUUAAUCUGACAUGAAAGUAUUGUUUUGUUUUCUGUCCUGCUUAAAGCUGCUGAAGUAUUUUAAUUACUAGCUUUUACUAUUAAAACACUACAGAUGUAGUUAGAUGUAAAAAGGUAACUUGAAUGAGAUGUGACAGGAGUCGAGCUUAAAGCAGAUCUCCAAGAUUUUCCAUAGAGGCAAAAAAUUUUAAACAAUAGCAGGAAACUCAGCAAAGUGCCAUUUCCUGUGAUUGACUGCAUACCUGACACCGAAUGGCACGGCGACCACGUUAAAGAGGUACGCUGGGGGAUGAUUUAUAAUAAGAGCCAGGUGUGGUGCAGCCUCGCAGUGUGGAGGGGAGGAUGUUAAACUGGCGGCAAAAGGGACGCCAUUGUUUGGUUUGGGCCGCAGGGUCAAACAACAGUCAAUGCUUUGUACAGUUAAUGCAUAUGUGUGCGCUUCAGGGAAAAUUGAAGCUUGGACAAAGUUGCAGGUUUUUUAUUUAUGUGUCUUAUUAUUUCUAUUAAUUCAUCUUCGAACAUAGAUCUUAUUUGGCUUGUCUUCUCUGUUACAGUGCAUUAUUUUUGUUAGUUUUUUUGUCUCAUUCCGACCUACUGUGUGUGCAGAGGAUGUUCUGUAGCUGUAGCGUUAGACUUUUGUCUGGCACAAGUAGCGAGCUGAAAGUCAGGUAUGAGCUGCAGUGCUGCUGCCAUCGGUCUUUAGCAAUCUCCAGAUACACUAAAGUUUCCACAUUGCUUCAUACAACAAGCACUAAUAUUUGUUUUUAUUCCCUUGGAUUUGUAUUUAUUGUGGUUCAGUGUCUGAGGACUCAAAUAAUGUAAAUAUAUAUAUGUUGUUUUUAUGAACUAUGUUUAAUAAAACCUA